GAUGUGAAUCCCCGGCUCAACCUGGGAACUGCAUUCGAAACUGGCAGGCUAGAGUCUUGUAGAGGGGGGUAGAAUUCCAGGUGUAGCGGUGAAAUGCGUAGAGAUCUGGAGGAAUACCGGUGGCGAAGGCGGCCCCCUGGACAAAGACUGACGCUCAGGUGCGAAAGCGUGGGGAGCAAACAGGAUUAGAUACCCUGGUAGUCCACGCCGUAAACGAUGUCGACUUGGAGGUAGGGCCCUUGAGGCGUGGCUUCCGGAGCUAACGCGUUAAGUCGACCGCCUGGGGAGUCCGGCCGCAAGGU
rnacentral:rRNA from 1 species